AAGGGGAAGGGGAGGACGGGGGAGGCUGAGCCCACCCACGGCCUAGACGGAGAGUCCAGGGGGCAGAGGGCAGCUCACCUCCUUUCAGGCACAGAUGACGAAAGUAAGCAGCAAGCCAAGAAGCUUGGCCACAGGGAUCCUGGAAGCGCGAGAGAAGCUGCGUCAGCCCGCCGGCGCUUCUGCCUGGGCCGUCCCGCCGCUGGCCCAGCCGGGUGUCACAGCCCUCUCCAGGAGUGAGACCCCCACCCUUCCCCAGAAUGCAACACGGCCACUAAACCUGCAGGAACCGGAGCCACAGCAGGCUCACGCAGACCCUGAUUCCAUCCCUGGGGAUUCACGCGUCAUCCCUGCUUUACAACUUGCUCAUUUACAAACAUGGUGAAACUAUAAAAACUCCUGAGAACCAUGGAGUUCAGGAUUGUGGCCACUUCUGGGGAGGGGGUGGGUGGGGAGAGGCACCCGGUUCUGUCCGUAAUAUUUUAUUUCUCGAUGGAAAACAUAUCUGAAGCACAAAGGUCAAGGAGCUAAUGUUAGUUGAAGCUGGAUGGCGGGUACACGGUGCCCACGUGUCCGUCUCUUCUCGAUGGUUGUCGUGGGCUGAACUGUGUCCCCCAAAUUCAUACAUAGGGGUUCUGACCCCCAGCACCCCAGAUUGUGACUAUUUGGAGAUGAGUUCUUUAAAAAGGUGGAAAGUAAAAUGAGGUCACGAGGGUGGGCCCUGCCCCAGUGUGACUGGUGUCCUUAUAAGAGGAGGAGGUCAGGACACAGACACACACAGAGGGACGACCCCGUGAGGACACAGUGAGGAGACGGCCAUCUACACGCCGAGGAGAGAGGCCUCAGGAGGACCCAGCCCUGCCCACACCUGGAUCUGGGAUUCCAGCCUCAGGACUGAAGACAAAAAACAACGAACAAUGUUGCUCCAGUCACCCCAGGAAACACACCCUGAUCAACCCUGCGGCUACACGGAGGGAGGACCCAGGUGGACAGGAUGGGCGCUCAGAGAGGACAUAGGGCUUUCAGGCCAUCACCUGUUGGCGUUCCCCCUGAGAGUCCACCCCCUGCCAAGCUCGGGGAGUGACAGGGGAGGUGUCAUUGGCUCAGUGAUCCCGGCCGAGGGUGAAGCAGCUUCCUCUAGGGGACAAUCUUGGUGUGUGUGGGGGGUUGACUAUCACUUCAUUUAACAGACGGCAAAACCUGCCAUGGUGGGCCAGCAACCCUGGGGGUCACGCAGCUGGGGUAGGCAGCACCUCACCACGCUGAUCCCCAGGAGACCCUGGUUGGGCUGGGCGAGGGAGGGGGCCCUGGGGACAAGGCCAGGGCCUCCCCAGCUCCCCUCUCGGCCCGGUCAUGCCACAGAAAACGCCUGCUCUGUCCUGGCUGGAAGUGCUUCCGAGCCCU